rnacentral:tRNA from 1 species
GCCUGGUUAGCUCAAUCGGUAGAGCGUGAGACUUUUAAUCUCAAGGCUGAGGGUUCGACCCCCUCAUCGGGCG